CCUACGGGUGGCAGCAGUGGGGGAUAUUGCACAAUGGAGGAAACUCUGAUGCAGCGACGCCGCGUGAGGGAAGACGGUCUUCGGAUUGUAAACCUCUGUCUUUGGGGAAGAAAAUGACGGUACUCAUAGAGGAAGCUCCGGCUAACUACGUGCCAGCAGCCGCGGUAAUACGUAGGGAGCGAGGUUUGUCCGGAAUUACUGGGUGUAAGGGGAGUGGAGGCGGGCGAGAAAGUUGAAUGUUAAAUCUACCGGCUUAACUGGGAGCUGCGUUCAAAACUGCUUGUCUUGAGUGAAGUAGAGGCAGGCAGAAUUCCAAGUGUAGCGGUGAAAUGCGUAGAUAUUAGGAGGAACACCAGUGGCGAAGGCGGCCUGCUGGGCUUUAACUGACGCUGAGGCUCGAAAGCGUGGGGAGCAAACAGGAUUAGAUACCCUGGUAGUC
rnacentral:rRNA from 1 species